rnacentral:RNase_P_RNA from 1 species
ACAGCAAAUCGUUCUAUCGCUGUUUCGAUUUAUCGAAAGAGAGGAAAGUCCGGGCAGCACAGAGUAUCCUACCUAGCGAAAGCUAGGGUAUUGCUUUAGGGAUAAAGCAGUAACAGAAAGUGCCACAGAAAAUAAACUACCUUUUCGAUUUAUCGGAAAGGAAAAGGUGAAAAGGUGAGGUAAGAGCUCACCAGUUGCAAAAGUAAUUUUGUAAGCUAGGAAAACCUUAGGAGCUGAAAAAUCAAAUAAACCAAGGCUAUAGGGUUACUCGCCUGAUCUUGGAGGGUAGAUUGUUAGAGCGUGGAGGCAACUCCCCGCCUAGAUAAAUGAUAGAAACCUUAGCCAAUGUAUUGGCAAAAGGUACAGAACCCGGCUUAUAGAUUUGCUUUUUUU